rnacentral:rRNA from 1 species
GUGCCAGCCGCCGCGGUAAGACGAGGGGUCCAAGCGUUGCUCGGAAUUAUUGGGCGUAAAGCGGAUGUAGGUGGUUUUGUAAGUCAGAAGUGAAAUCCCUGGGCUUAACCCAGGACGUGCUUUUGAUACUGCUUAACUUGAGUGUGGGAGAGGACAGUAGAAUUCCAGGUGUAGUGGUGAAAUACGUAGAUAUCUGGAGGAAUACCGGUGAGGAAGCUGGCUGUCUGGCCCAACACUGACACUGAGAUCCGAAAGCGUGGGGAUCAAACAGGAUUAGAUACCCUGGUAGUCCACGCCGUAAACGAUGGACACUUGGUGUUGGAGGUAUUGACCCCUUCAGUGCCGAAGCUAACGCGUUAAGUGUCCCGCCUGGGGAGUACGGUCGCAAGAUUAAA